rnacentral:rRNA from 1 species
GUCCACGCCCUAAACGAUGAUGACUAGUUGUUGGAGGAGUUAAAUCCUUUAGUAACGCAGCUAACGCGAGAAGUCAUCCGCCUGGGGAGUACGGUCGCAAGAUUAAAACUCAAAGGAAUUGACGGGGGCCCCGCACAAGCGGUGGAUGAUGUGGUUUAAUUCGAUGCAACGCGAAAACCUUACCUACCCUUGACAUGUACGGAAUCCUGCAGAGAUGCAGGAGUGCCCGAAAGGGAGCCGUAACACAGGUGCUGCAUGGCUGUCGU